GGGGAUGACUGGUCUCGACGGGGCAGAUAAGGCGUAAGCUGCAAGACCGAGGCGCUCUCACCUCGCAAAUCCAGAGCAAAAACACAAAUGCCAACACUGGCAAUGCGUUCGCUUUCCCGACCGCUCGCAACAACGCUUUCGCGUUGGCCGCGUAAGGAACGUGAACAAAAGAUCGCCGUAAGGUGAUCCGGUGCCCUCGAUGGGGCCAGGCGGCGUCGAGGUGCAUCGUCAUAGACCGUAAGGUGCGGCUCGCGGACGCCGAUAGGCGAGCUCAAGACCCUCGGCUAGCCGGGCUAGCGGACGGUGGUCUCUGCUGGACCGUCCGGCGAAAUUCAAAUCAGAGACUAAGCUUGUAGACGCUUGCGACUGUUUGUUUCGGACCCGGGUUCGACUCCCGGCAUCUCCACC
rnacentral:tmRNA from 1 species